rnacentral:rRNA from 1 species
CCUACGGGAGGCAGCAGUCGGGAAUAUUGCGCAAUGGAGGAAACUCUGACGCAGUGACGCCGCGUAUAGGAAGAAGGUUUUCGGAUUGUAAACUAUUGUCGAUAGGGAAGAUAAAAGACUGUACCUAUCAAGAAAGCUCCGGCUAACUACGUGCCAGCAGCCGCGGUAAUACGUAGGGAGCAAGCGUUAUCCGGAAUUAUUGGGUGUAAAGGGUGCGUAGACGGGAUGUCAAGUUAGUUGUGAAAUACCUCGGCUCAACUGAGGAACUGCAACUAAAACUAACAUUCUUGAGUGCAGGAGAGGAAAGUGGAAUUCCUAGUGUAGCGGUGAAAUGCGUAGAUAUUAGGAAGAACAUCGGUGGCGAAGGCGACUUUCUGGACUGUAACUGACGUUGAGGCACGAAAGUGUGGGGAGCAAACAGGAUUAGAUACCCUUGUA